AUGAACGCUGGCGGCGUGCCUCAUACCUGCCAGUCGCGCGAACAGACGAGGAGCUUGCUCCUCUGACGUUAGCGGCGGACGGGUGAGUAACACGUGGAUAACCUACCUAUAAGACUGGGAUAACUUCGGGAAACCGGAGCUAAUACCGGAUAAUAUAUUGAACCGCAUGGUUCAAUAGUGAAAGACGGUUUUGCUGUCACUUAUAGAUGGAUCCGCGCCGCAUUAGCUAGUUGGUAAGGUAACGGCUUACCAAGGCAACGAUGCGUAGCCGACCUGAGAGGGUGAUCGGCCACACUGGAACUGAGACACGGUCCAGACUCCUACGGGAGGCAGCAGUAGGGAAUCUUCCGCAAUGGGCGAAAGCUUGACGGAGCAACGCCGCGUGAGUGAUGAAGGUCUUCGGAUCGUAAAACUCUGUUAUUAGGGAAGAACAAAUGUGUAAGUAACUAUGCACGUCUUGACGGUACCUAAUCAGAAAGCCACGGCUAACUACGUG
rnacentral:rRNA from 1 species